rnacentral:rRNA from 1 species
GUGUCAGCAGCCGCGGUAAUACGUAUGGGGCAAGCGUUGUCCGGAAUUAUUGGGCGUAAAGGGUACGUAGGCGGUUUUUCAAGUCUAUAUUAAAAGGUCGUGGCUCAACCACGGUAUGGUGUAGAAACUGGAAAACUUGAGUAGAUGAGGGGAAAGUGGAAUUCCUAGUGUAGCGGUGAAAUGCGUAGAUAUUAGGAGGAAUACCAGUGGCGAAGGCUACUUUCUGGAAUCUUACUGACGCUCAGGUACGAAAGCGUGGGGAGCAAACAGGAUUAGAUACCCUGGUAGUCCACGCUGUAAACGAUGAAUGCUAGGUGUCGGGUGUCAAAGCUCGGUACCGCAGUUAACGCAUUAAGCAUUCCGCCUGGGGAGUACGUGCGCAAGCAUGAA